UUAGAAUAGCAGGGUUAAGGUGCUUGUGCUCAUUUUUUGAGCGCAGUUAAACGGGAAGCAGGUUCAAGCCUGCGCUGCCCCCGCAACGGUAAGUAAGUGCGGGUGUGUCAUUUUGCCACUGGUAGUAAAGCUGUUCUAAACGCAGCAACUGGGAAGGCGACACAUCAAAACUUACAAGCCCGGAUACCGGCCUUGACCGUUCAGCCUGUC
rnacentral:ncRNA from 21 species